AUGGGAUGCCUAGUUAAAUAUGAAUUUCACAAAAACAACAAAUUGUAUUUUAGUGUAAGUAUUUUCAUUUCACUAUUUGGAAUAUACUUAUGCUAAAACAUUAUUUAUGAUUUAUCAGGAAUUCAAAUAUAAUUGGGUGUCCUGGAUUUU
rnacentral:miRNA from 1 species